UACAGAGGGGGCAAGCGUUGUUCGGAAUUACUGGGCGUAAAGGGCGCGUAGGCGGCCUGUUAAGUCGAACGUGAAAUCCCCGGGCUCAACCCGGGAACUGCGUCCGAUACUGGCAGGCUUGAAUCCGGGAGAGGGAUGCGGAAUUCCAGGUGUAGCGGUGAAAUGCGUUGAUAUCCGUAGGAACUCCGGUGGCGAAGGCGGCGUGCUGGACCUCUUCUGACGCUGAGGCGCGAAAGCCAGGGGAGCGAACGGG
rnacentral:rRNA from 1 species